UACGUAGGGUGCAAGCGUUGUCCGGAAUUAUUGGGCGUAAAGAGCUCGUAGGCGGUCUGUCGCGUCUGCUGUGAAAACUCGGGGCUCAACCCCGGGCCUGCAGUGGGUACGGGCAGACUAGAGUGCGGUAGGGGAGACUGGAAUUCCUGGUGUAGCGGUGAAAUGCGCAGAUAUCAGGAGGAACACCGGUGGCGAAGGCGGGGUCUCUGGGGCCGUAACUGACGCUGAGGAGCGAAAGCAUGGGUAGCGAACAGG
rnacentral:rRNA from 1 species